UAAGGAUGUGGAUAGCAUUCUGAGAAGGA
rnacentral:piRNA from 1 species